GAUAAACUGUAACUUGAGCAAAAGUCUGGAGGUGUUUACAAGGCGUGAAGUUUGAUGUAGUGAUUGGAGAACUACUGCCUUGUGUUAAGUCAUGUGCUUGGUAGGAGGUGGGAUCCCAGCGAGACCGCCCCAAGGUGGGGUGACAGUUAAUUUCUGAAAUGGGAUGGCAAGCAUUCAGCUCACCCCUGCGUGGUAGCAAGUAAUUCGGGUAUAAAUGCAAUAGAACAGAAGGCCUUCCUCCUAAAUGUCUCCCGCCUUGGAACUAUCUAUCGUUCUGUGAACAGGCCAUUGCUCUUAAUACCAGCUCUGCAUGGAGCUGCUGCAGCUGAACCAGAAUCCACAGCAUCAGAAGGGGGGUGAAGAAGAAAGGCCAUGUGCAGGUGAGCACCAUGCUCCUCCCUCCAGGUGAGCUCCUACCACUGCGGGCUGGGGCACUGUUCCCCGUGUGGUAUGUACAGGGCAGUAUACACCACACUGGGGAUAGAACAGAUGGCCCUGCAAAAGCAGGGAAUGUGACCUGGGCCACCUAGCAGUUCAAGAAUAGGGAGGAAAGGAAACAUAAUGGAAGCUUUGGGAGUGGGCGAGGAGAAUCUCGGACUGAUUCAGGGAAACCGGAUCGCAGUGCAAGCUAAGUGCUCAAAGCUGUCAGGAGGGAUCACAGGAGUCUGGAAGCUGCAGAGCAGGGGACUGAGUGGAGCCAAGUGCUGGGAAAGGACACCAACUUGCUGAGGACUACUGUUGGCUCCAGGCUUGGGGGAGGGUGGCCUGAGAGCAGGAGACUAUGGGAGCUGGCUAAGCAGGAUCUAGGAGCCCAGGGACCAACAGACUAUCACAGCCAGAUCAGUGGGCCACACUGGACCAAGCUGGGGUAGGUCCUGAGUUCGGGUUGACACCUCCCGACCGGAAUCUGGUUUUUUUUUCUGGGGUCUCUUUCUGAGGACUUCAGUGGUUUUCUAUGAGGCAAUACCUGGAGGCCUGAGUGGGAAUGGCCGGGGGGACCCAGGAGAUCUUUUUUAAAAGAAACCUGGAAAUUCUAUGCUCCUUUUGGCUGUGUCAAAAGGAUGGGGCAUGUCCGACUCCAGGAUAGAGAGGUGGGAAAGGGAGAGGGAACGGGCACAGAGAAGAGGAGAUGAAGGAAAAGGGUGUGGGCCCAGGGUGGAGGACACCUGGUAUAACCCAGCAUGAUUGUGGGGUCCUGCUACAGCCCUCAGGGCACAAAUAUCAGCAACUCAGGGUCCACACUAUUGGAGUCUGGUCACCUUUAGGGCAAACAGGGUAGAGGAGGGACAUCCCUCCCCUUGCCAUCUCAGAUCCCUCCCCAGAGGCCGAAGACUCAAGGACAGGCUGGGCAGGAGAGGAGACGGUCAUUGCCUGUCUGGGACUUCAAAUCUGUGACUCAGCAGCCAUGUCUCAGCCUGGACAGAGAUGUCCACAAGGCCUUCCAUACUGGUCCAAGGUGGGGGAGGGAGGUGGGCAGAGAGAGCCUGUGCUUAAUAAUUAAUGGCUUUUUCUAUUUUUACAGGUGCUUGAGGCAGUGGGCAGAGGGAACACAGUGAAUCUAAAGACCUCGCCUGUCCCAAUCACCUCCUUCCACUGGGACAGAGAGCAUCAAAGUCAAACAGGAUCUCUGUGGUCACGCUGCUGGAGAGUGAAGUCAGGACUUGCCCUGGGGCAUGGGAAACAGGCAUGGAAGGAGAGGUGGCUGAUGAGAAAACUAUUCCCAGGCCACUGCAGGCCAACAGGGAGCAACUCGGAAGAAGAGAGUUCAGGAACUGGGAGUAGGGAAGGAGGAAAGGGCCCCUGACCCCCAUGUGGCUGCUCUUUGGCUGGCCACCCUGCUCCACAUUCAGCUCUCUGUGUGCCCUUAGGGGGCAGGAAGGGGGCUAUCGCUCCAGUAGCUGCACCCAGGACUUCCUCUGUCCCCCACCCCACUUGCUUGUCUUUUUACAAGCCUCCAAGCCUUGGUACUAGCAUCCCUUCUCCCUAGAAUGCCUUCCCCUUCCUUCCUUCACUUCCUGGCUCAAAGGAGCUUUGGCAUAAACCUUUUUGAGUCUCUGCUCUCACUCUCUCUGGGCCAAGGGGUUACAGAACUCCUUGCACUGUGAUGGUCAUUAAUUUGAUCCCACUGGUCUCCUCGGCUGGAGUGUAGGGUCCCCUAAGGGCAGAGACUAUAUCCCUAGGUUCAACAUGGCACCUGGCCCAUGGCAAACAGACACCUUGUUUGGGGUGAAAAGCUCCAGUUUCUUCUGAGACUAUUUCAUUGCUGGUUCCUUUCAUUCCUGGGCUCCAGCUCCCACUGAGGGUGCUGACCUAGCCACAAGCCAGAAGGGAGAGAAGCUGGGCCUGCAGUGCCCAUCCCCCACCCAGCCCCAGAGCAUAGCUGCUCAGCCCUGCUGGAAUCUCAAUACCUCUCCCUUCCUCAGAAGCUGCACAACUCCCAUCCCUACUCCCUAGCUCCUUCCUCCCACAUCUGGGCCGGGCAUGGUGCCAAACCUUGGUUAAGGGUGCAGGAACUUAAUGAUACUGCAUUAGUAUCAGCAUCUGCCUUCCAGAGAGGCCAUCUUCCCCAGAACUCCAGUUUCCAACCUUUCCUUCUAAGCCUGCUUCUUCCAGGAAGCCAUCCCAUAAUGCUAUACUACCUAUUUUCUUAGUUACAAGUAGGCCUCCUCCACUCACCAAGAAUACUGAGAGGUUCAGGGCUGUGAUUGUUGCCAGCUCCUAGGAUGGUGUCUGGCACUUAAGUGAGACCCAUAGGUGUUUGUGCCUAGGAUGGGGAAGAAGGGCAUCACAGUCAGUGUAGGCCAUCUCACUGGGAGGCCGAGGCUGGACUCCAGGGUACUGAGCAUGGCAGGGUAUAUAGCCCAGAGCCUGCAUCCCACAUGGUCUGCUGAGAACCUGAUUAGCCCAUAGUCUAAGCAUAAGGACAACAGUUCAUCUGCCUGUGAAUCUUUUUUUUUUUUUUUAGAGAGAGAGAGAAGGAGAGAGAGAGAGAGAGAGAGAAUUUUUAAUAUUUAUUUUUUAGUUUUCAGCGGACACAACAUCUUUGUUUGUAUGUGGUGCUGAGGAUUGAACCCGGGCCGCACGCAUGCCAGGCAAGCGCGCCACCGCCUGAGCCACAUCCCCAGCCCCUGCCUGUGAAUCUUGGCAGCGUAGGAAGUGGGUCAGGCCCAGGACACAAAGCUUCUAGGACUUGGGUGGAUGUUUCCCUUCCAGGCAAAGCAGGAGCGCAAGUGCCCUGGGGAUGGAGACCAGGGUGUGAUGGCACACAUUGCACUGCUUGUGUCCAUAUCCUUUAGGCAUGCCUGUGACCAUGGGAAGGUCAUUUCUCCCUGGACAUACUUCCUGGCCCCCUCCAGAUCUCAUCACCCAAGAAUGAGGCACCUUGGGGGAGGACAGUGUGGAUUUGACUCCACUCCAGCAAGCCUUGGCCCUGACCCUCUCAGGCCUCCUCCUUCCUGUCCCAACAGCCCUGCUCCUCCCUCCUUGCAGUGAUGUCACUUUGGCCACCUCAUCACCAGCUCCUAACCCCCUUCCUGUGGCCCCCUCUUCCUCAGAUGAGAGGCUGGUGGAUGUGGCUCUCCUUAUUCAGGCUCUAACUUGGCACUGGGAAUUACCUAAACGGGUUCCCUCCAAACCCUGAGCCAUUGGGAGGGGCCCCAGGGAAAGGAAGCCUUGGGAGACUCCUUCCUCAUGAAGGCAGAUAGAAGACUCCACUUUCCCCUUCUCCAGCGGCAUGGUCCCUGCACCAUCCCUUCCCUGGGUAAAAGGGAAGCGAGUUGGGGAAACUUUCUGGGAGUCUCAGAGUUUAGAUAUCCUGGAGGGACAGGUGCUGCUAGAUUUGGAACGAGAUGACUUCCCUCUACAUACAGCACCCUCUGAGCAAAACAUACCAUUAGCUCCCUCCCACCUUCCAAAGACCUUCAGCCAGUACCCAGGCCUCUAACAACACCAGGGGCAUCUGGGCAGUUGCUGCCCGCAAGAUGAGGCGGGCGAGCUGGAUGAUGGAUGCUCAGUCGGUUGGAGAAAUAGGAAGACCGCCUCCAUCCCCUUUUGCAGCUCUAUCAGGCGAUCAGUCUGGGUCUCUCGGGCAGCGCCCCUCUUUCCCCGUCCCCAUUCUCCAGACGCAUCACUGCUCAGAGUCGGGCUCACUAGGUCCAGCCCAGCCCUUCUUGGGGUGAUGCCGCCCGACAAUGGAGCAACGGACCCCCGCUUCCCCACUACCCUCCCUGCCGCGCUCACCCUGCUCCAGGUCCUGCUGGUCGUACCAGGGCUCCUCUUCCUCUGCGAAGUCCUCCAUCCUGGUGGCUCUCCGCAUGGCCCCGCAGGCGGCGGUGGGCGGGCGCUGCGGUGGCGCGGCUCAGGGCCGGGGCGCAGGGUCCGGGACAAUGCAGCGGAGGCGGGACGAGCCUCCCGCGUCGUGGACUCGGGCUGCAGCGCCCCCGCCCGCGCCGCGCCCCCUGGCCAUCGGCUGCGAGCCGGGAGCCCACGCGGGGCCUGGAGCACCGCCGCGGUCCCGCCCGGCCGGGGUCCCGCGGAGCCCGGGGGCGCCGGGCUGCGGCGGCACAAAGGGUGGAGGGGUGGAGACGACCGCGGGGAUGGCGGCAGGGAGGGCCCGGGGCCGCCGUCAGGUCUGGGGCGCUAGGAGCGUGCGGGUGUCGCAGCGGGCACCCCGUGUUCGGCUCUGGCCGGAGCUGUCCCCGGCCCGCCCGGCGACACCCGGAGCCGCGGCUGCAUCUUGGCCCUGCAGCUUCCCGAGCUGCCAGCUCCGUGGGGCGGUGCCUGCCGCCGUUGGCCAAUCAGGAGGCGUAUGCAAAGCUAGAGGCGGGGCCAAGGGUGGGACCUUCCUUGUGUCCUGGCCUGGGAGUUACUGGAUCAACCCCCUUCCUCCUUCCCUCCACGUCCGACUUCUUCAGUUCACUGCUCUCUGGAAUUAUUUUGUUUACCUGUUGUUGUCUCUUCUUCUAGAUCUCCUGGAAACAAGGAUCUUGUUUACUGCGGGUCCUCAGCGCGUAGAACCGGCGGGCCCAUUAAUAUCUUCCAUGGACAUUCUUUGAAUAGUGUUAAUUUACAAUUACCUUUAAAAACGUGAGUGCUUAAAAGACCAAAGCCAAAAACUGAAGGCUGGGAGUGACAAAUUUUGAGGAUGUGUUACUUGCAUUCUGUGCUUUUCUCUUUUAGUUUCUAUCUCCCUUCCUGCGGACCCAUACCUGUAUCCGAUUACGAUCACUAAAGUCUCAUUGUUUCACCUAUCCAAGCAUUCUUUACUUUAAAGGAAUUUUCAGACUCAAACAUCCAUGUAAUCCAUUUUUAUUGGGGCCCAGCAUGGGCUGACAUUGUUGAGGCACUGAGUUUCUCCAACUCAGAAUUUAUGUUGCAAAAUAUCCAGCAAAGGAUUUGUGUCCAAAAUAGAUGAACAUUUCAAAUCCUUCGGAGAAAACCGUGAAAGACAUCUGCUCAUUGGCGGAAACCUCCAAAACUGG
rnacentral:lncRNA from 1 species